GAUGAACGCUAGCUACAGGCUUAACACAUGCAAGUCGAGGGGCAGCGGGAUUGAAGCUUGCUUCAAUUGCCGGCGACCGGCGCACGGGUGAGUAACGCGUAUCCAACCUUCCGUACACUCAGGGAUAGCCUUUCGAAAGAAAGAUUAAUACCUGAUGGUAUGAUGAGAUUGCAUGAUAUCAUCAUUAACGAUUUAUCGGUGUACGAUGGGGAUGCGUUCCAUUAGGUAGUAGGCGGGGUAACGGCCCACCUAGCCAACGAUGGAUAGGGGUUCUGAGAGGAAGGUCCCCCACAUUGGAACUGAGACACGGUCCAAACUCCUACGGGAGGUAGCAGUGAGGAAUAUUGGUCAAUGGACGAGAGUCUGAACCAGCCAAGUAGCGUGAAGGAUGAAGGUCCUACGGAUUGUAAACUUCUUUUAUAAGGGAAUAAACCCUCCCACGUGUGGGAGCUUGUAUGUACCUUAUGAAUAAGCAUCGGCUAACUCCGUG
rnacentral:rRNA from 1 species